UAGAUAAUUAAUCAUGGUGAAGUUUCUGAAUUUAUAAGAAAAACUAUUCCACGACCUCAGAGCACUUCAAAGAGUGUUGAGUUGGUGCAAGAAACUUUAGGAAUUUUAAGCAGUCCUAGAAUAGCGUAUGAACGUGUACAGAUGUUGACCAAGAGUUCACCAAAGGAUGGAACAACUUUAAACGUAUGUAAAAAUAUACUUGUGAUUAACUAACGUUGAAAACCUUUAAAUCAUCAAAUUAUUAUUAAAGAUAAAAUUACUUUCACGCAGCAAAAUAUUGUAAAGCCAAUAAAUAUGUAAAUCGUCAAAA